GACGAACCGAGCGAACGUUGUUCGGAAUCAUUGGGCUUAAAGGGCGCGUAGGCGGGUGCUCAAGUCCGGGGUGAAAUCCUCCAGCUCAACUGGAGAACUGCCUCGGAUACUGGGUGUCUCGAGGGUGGUAGGGGUAUGCGGAACUAUCGGUGGAGCGGUGAAAUGCGUUGAUAUCGAUAGGAACUCCGGUGGCGAAGGCGGCAUACUGGACCACAUCUGACGCUGAGGCGCGAAAGCCAGGGGAGCAAACGGG
rnacentral:rRNA from 1 species